UGACAGGCUAGAACGGUUGUUACAGUAUGG
rnacentral:piRNA from 1 species